rnacentral:rRNA from 1 species
GAGUUUGAUCAUGGCUCAGAACGUACGCUGGCGGCACGCCUAACACAUGCAAGUCGAACGAAGUAGCAAUACUUAGUGGCAGACGGGUGAGUAACAUGUAGGUAUCUGCCCUUUGGCCUGGAAUAACACGAGGAAACUUGUGCUAAUACCGGAUAAGUCUUUACGGAGAAAGCUUUAUGCACCAUUGGAUGAGCCUGCACUUGAUUAGUUUGUUGGUGGGGUAAUGGCCUACCAAGACUGUGAUCAAUAGCUGAUUUGAGAGGAUGAUCAGCCACAUUGGGACUGAGACACGGCCCAAACUCCUACGGGAGGCAGCAGUGGGGAAUCUUGCACAAUGGAGGAAACUCUGAUGCAGCGAUGCCGCGUGAGUGAAGAAGGCCCUUGGGUUGUAAAGCUCUUUCGUUGGGGAAGAAAAUGACUGUACCCGAAUAAGAAGGUCCGGCUAACUUCGUGCCAGCAGCCGCGGUAAUACGAGGGGACCUAGCGUAGUUCGGAAUUACUGGGCUUAAAGAGUUCGUAGGUGGUUGAAAAAGUUAGUGGUGAAAUCCCAGAGCUUAACUCUGGAACUGCCAUUAAAACUUUUCAGCUAGAGUAUGAUAGAGGAAAGCAGAAUUUCUAGUGUAGAGGUGAAAUUCGUAGAUAUUAGAAAGAAUACCAAUUGCGAAGGCAGCUUUCUGGAUCAUUACUGACACUGAGGAACGAAAGCAUGGGUAGCGAAGAGGAUUAGAUACCCUCGUAGUCCAUGCCGUAAACGAUGUGUGUUAGACGUUGGAAAUUUAUUUUCAGUGUCGCAGGGAAACCGAUAAACACACCGCCUGGGGAGUACGACCGCAAGGUUAAAACUCAAAUGAAUUGACGGGGACCCGCACAAGUAGUGGAGCAUGUGGUUUAAUUCGAAGAUACGCGCAGAACCUUACCAACACUUGACAUGUUCGUCGCGACUCUAAGAGAUUAGAGUUUUCGGUUCGGCCGGACGAAACACAGGUGCUGCAUGGCUGUCGUCAGCUCGUGUCGUGAGAUGUUGGGUUAAGUCCCGCAACGAGCGCAACCCUCACUUUUAGUUGCCAUCAUUUAGUUGGGCACUCUGAAAGAACUGCCAGUGAUAAGCUGGAGGAAGGUGGGGAUGACGUCAAGUCCUCAUGGCCCUUACGUGUUGGGCUACACACGUGCUACAAUGGUAUCUACAACAGGAAGCAAGACUGCGAAGUUAAGCAAAUCCCUAAAAGAUACCUCAGUUCGGAUUGCACUCUGCAACUCGAGUGCAUGAAGCUGGAAUUACUAGUAAUCGUGGAUCAGCGUGCCACGGUGAAUGCGUUCCCGGGUCUUGUACACACCGCCCGUCACACCAUGGGAGUUGGUUCUACCUUAAGGCAAGGUUUCAAACCCUUGACCACGGUAUAGUCAGCGACUGGGGUGAAGUCGUAACAAGGUAACC